GGGGCUGCGCACGGGUCUUCAGCCACACCACGAAGAGGCCGACAAGACACAAUCCAGGAACUCACUGCACUAAACAUUUCGAAUACUGUCUACAUUGAAUGUAGGAAAUCAUCCUCGCCUCCGAACAGCAGGAACCGCGAGCAGGCCGCCGCGCCGGGCUCGCCGGCUCCUGCCGAGGCGCUCGCUCUGCCCGGUGCAAUAGAGUUCACGUUAUUUUUUCAACUGGGAGAGAGAAGCCGGUUUUGGUUUUUUGGUUUUUUUCCCCCCUUCCCGCAGAGCAAGCUUGAUCCUUGAACCACCAUAGGUCAGUUAUCCUAGGACGCUAUUAGGCAUCAGGCUCUCUUGGAAUAAGAUCAAAGUGUCCUUAUCACUUUGAUUCCUACUUUUGUUUUUUAACCACUCUACACUGUCGGUGGCCGAGAGAAAACGAGGGACGGUGCCGUGCAGCACGAGGCCGAGGGGGCUGCUGGUCCCCACCGGGGACGGAGGAGAAGUGCAGCCGCCCGGUGCAGAGCCGUGGGUGGCGGCCCCAGGGCCCGGCCGGCUGGGGACAGCUGUGUGCGUGCCUCGCAGGUUUCCCCCCGUCACUGCGAUGCAGUUCUGCUGCGGGAGGACGAGGGGACUGUGCUGGCUUUCUCUUACCCGCUAUGAAUUAUUUAGAUUUCCAAGGCAUUUUCUUGAUAAACAAGAGGCUAUUUUUAAGUACAGAGAGGAGGAGGCCCCGGCGGGAGGACCGUGUGGGAAUUCCCAAAGCUCUUUGCGGGUGGGGCCGGGGUGGGGGGCGUUUGCUCUCUGUUUUUCUAUGUGCAGAAUAGAGGAUCUCUCCUGGGGUGGGCAAUGCCCCCUGUUUAUUUUUUAGAAAAAGUAACUCCCAGACAGCCCCCACGAAAGCCGUGCCUCGUGGAGGCAUCGUCAGAGGACGAAGAGUGUUCCAAAAGGGACACGCUCUGGCUCGCGACACGUGUCCAGCUCCCUCCACGAGCUCUCAGGAGGGGGAUGAGCCAUGACAGCCGAGGCCCGAGGGGCAGGAGCAGGAGCCCUCUUCUUGUUGCAAACUCGCCUGAGGAAAGGGACGCCAGGAGGGAGUCCACGGCGCGGCUCGGAAGAGAAAGGCCUGCCCGCCGGUCCUUCAGCCUCCAAACCUCACCGGGUGCCCGGUUCCACCCCAGGACAGGGAGAACGCCGCCGCCGCGCUGUUCAGUUGAAGUUGGUACCAAAUAUGCAUUUACCAUUUUUCUAUCUGGGAAGUCAACUUGCCACCGUGUCACGCUGAGGGCCGUCUCUAGGGAGACCAAGACAGGACGCACUGGCCCCCCACCCCCGCCCCCGCCCGCCGGCUCACAGGCCGGGCGUCCGCGUCCAGCAGCACCGCAAGUGUGGCUCCCCCUUGGACAAGAUCCCAAGCUUCGUUAUGCAGUUUUUAAUAUUAUUUAUUAUUUUAAAAAAAAGUAA
rnacentral:lncRNA from 1 species